rnacentral:rRNA from 1 species
GACGAACGCUGGCGGCGUGCUUAACACAUGCAAGUCGAACGGAAAGGCCCUGCUUUUGUGGGGUGCUCGAGUGGCGAACGGGUGAGUAACACGUGAGUAACCUGCCCUUGACUUUGGGAUAACUUCAGGAAACUGGGGCUAAUACCGGAUAGGAGCUCCUGCUGCAUGGUGGGGGUUGGAAAGUUUCGGCGGUUGGGGAUGGACUCGCGGCUUAUCAGCUUGUUGGUGGGGUAGUGGCUUACCAAGGCUUUGACGGGUAGCCGGCCUGGGAGGGUAACCGGCCACAUUGGGACUGAGAUACGGCCCAGACUCCUACGGGAGGCAGCAGUGGGGAAUAUUGCACAAUGGGCGGAAGCCUGAUGCAGCAACGCCGCGUGCGGGAUGACGGCCUUCUGGUUGUAAACCGCUUUCGCCUGUGACGAAGCGUGAGUGACGGUAAUGGGUAAAGAAGCACCGGCUAACUACGUG